AUAUCAAUAAGCGGAGGAAAAGAAACCAACCGGGAUUGCCCUAGUAACGGCGAGUGAAGCGGCAACAGCUCAAAUUUGAAAUCUGGCCCUUGGGUCCGAAUUGUAAUUUGUAGAAGGUGCCUCGGGGGCGACGACGGCGCAAGUCUCCUGGAACGGAGCGUCGCAGAGGGUGAGAAUCCCGUUUGCCGCCGAACGUCAAACCCGUGUGAGGCCCUUUCGAAGAGUCGAGUUGUUUGGGAAUGCAGCUCCAAGCGGGUGGUAAGUUCCAUCUAAAGCUAAAUAUCCGCCAGAGACCGAUAGCGCACAAGUAGAGUGAUCGAAAGAUGAAAAGCACUUUGAAAAGAGAGUCAAACAGUACGUGAAAUUGUUGAAAGGGAAGCGCUUGCAACCAGACUCGCCCGCGCGUGUUCAGCCGUGCUUCGGUGCGGUGCACUCUCGCGCGGGCGGGCCAGCAUCGGUUUCGGCGGCCGGACAAAGGCCCUGGGAACGUAACUCCCCUCGGGGAGUGUUAUAGCCCGGGGUGCAAUGCGGCCAGCCGGGACCGAGGAUCGCGCUUUUUGCUAGGAUGCUGGCGUAAUGGUUGCCAGCGACCCGUCUUGAAACACGGACCAAGGAGUCGACCAACCGCGCGAGUGUUUGGGUGUAAAGCCCUCGACGCGCAAUGAAAGUGAACGCAGGUGGGAGCUUCGGCGCACCAUCGACCGAUCUUGAUGUCUUCGGAUGGAUUUGAGUACGAGCGUGUUUGGUCGGACCCGAAAGUCAGUGAUCUAUGCGUGAAUAGGGUGAAGCCAGAGGAAACUCUGGUGGAGGCUCGCAGCGGUUCUGACGUGCAAAUCGAUCGUCAAAUUUGCGCAUAGGGGCGAAAGGUACGUCGAUCCCAACGGCAUCUGGUGGAGGAACAAGCUAACUCGUUUUUGCAGACUAAUCGAACUGACUAGUAGCUGGUUCCUGUCGAAGU
rnacentral:rRNA from 1 species